CGCAGUUCAGGUCCGGCAGCGUCAACAGGCCUACCCCGCGCCUCCCGCGGUCGGCCGCGCAGAACUAGGGCCGGACUGAGGGCGGAGCAGCAGACGGGAGUGAGUGGGGACCUCGAGGGACGUGGCAACGGGAGUUUCUUCUCUGUAUAUUUCAGCAUUCAGAUCCUUUUUUGUUUCUUUCACCCAGGAAAAGAUGUCAAUUACAUUUAGUAUUUUUGAAAGCCACUUUAUUGCUUCCUGAGCCUCAGUCAUGUGUGGUGGGAGGCUGCUGUGGGGGCACCUGGGGCGUCCAGGGCCACCAAGGCCAGGGGUACGUUAGGCCCUGCUUGCUCCCACCCCUUCCAGGUGCCCGCCUGAGAGCUCCCGGGCACGCCCAUCCUUGGCUCUUCGUCCUCUUGGUUUUCUUCCUCAUUGCUUCAAAUCAGGUCCCUGUCUCAAAAACCCCGAAAAAGAAAUACUCUCAAAUGACUCUGCCCGAGGCUCCGUGAAGGCAUCGUGCUAGGCGUUCUCAAACUCGUGAAACGACUACACUGCACAGGUUAUCCUCAUUGCUUCUCUGCUCCUUGCCUCCUAAUUCUCUGGUUAAACUUCUGCCCCCGAGGUUUCUAGAAACCCCUGAGCUAGAAUGCGCAGCCUAAUUUCAUUAACAGGGUGGUUCUGCUUCCGUCUGCUCACAUUCAUCUAGUUAAGCCCUUGCAUUAAAGAGCAGGCGGCGCACCGAGGCCUGCUUGGAUCUUCUUUCAUUCAACUAAUAAUGAGUGUCUAAAUUACAAGAAACUGGAGCCGUGGCAGUUCAGGAGCCUGCCAAGGUUGCAUCCCUGGGAACUUAUUUUCUAUUGUGGGAGACAGGAAAAGAACAAGUGAAUCAACUGAAAUUAAAAAAUUCAAACUUAAAGCUGUUGGAACUUGAUAUUAUUCUGAGCCUUGCGAAGAAUGCGGCUACGGGGCCUGAGUCCUUUGGCGCACAACUGCAAUGUCUGCCUUGUCUUUUACCUAUAAAUAGUCAGGAAGACCAAACAGACAGAGUUCUGGUUAAAUCACACAAGGAAACAUUGCCCUGGCAUGAGACCAAGAAGUCACAGAGCCCAGGUCUUAGCCCUCAGAGUGUGAGAGAAGACAUGAAGGCAUCAGGGACACUGUGCAAGUGGGCGCUGUUGAUUUCCACUGCUCUCUCCAGACUGCAGCCAGGAGGCUGCCUCUGUCCUGCCAGAUGCACACACCAAGAAAGGCCAUGUGAGCACACAGCAAGAUGUUGCCUGUCUGCAAGCUAGGAAAAGAGCCCUCACCAGGAACUGAAACAGCUGGCACGUUGAUGUUGGACUUUACAGCCUCCACAACUGUCAUAGUACUCACCAUUCUUGUGCUGAUGCAAGAUGAUACAAUGCAUUCGUGAUGAGAUAAAGUGGGAUGAAUGACCCAGGCAUUGUAAAGUAGCGUUGGGCUACUAUUGACUUUCUAAGGAUACAUCAGAAGGAGGAGCAUCUGAUUUAGGUGAUCCUGGAUAAAUGAGCCAUGAUGACAUGGAUGGUUGGAUGUCAGGAGAAGAUGAUGUCAGUGUUUGGAGAUCCUCAAUAGUUGAAGGUUUUUGUUUUGUUUUGUUUUUGCCAAAACUUUUGGAAGAGCAUUGUAAUAGAAUGUUAUUGUCUCUUUCUUUUUAACUCAUUAAAGUGU